UACGUAGGGUGCAAGCGUUGUCCGGAAUUAUUGGGCGUAAAGAGCUUGUAGGCGGUUUGUCGCGUCUGCUGUGAAAUUUCGGGGCUCAACCCCGAACUUGCAGUGGGUACGGGCAGACUAGAGUGCAGAAGGGGCAACUGGAAUUCUCGGUGUAGCGGUGAAAUGCGUAGAUAUCGAGAGGAACACCUGCGGCGAAGGCGGGUUGCUGGGCUGACACUGACGCUGAUGCGCGAAAGCCAGGGGAGGCGAACGGG
rnacentral:rRNA from 1 species